CAGCCGCCGCGGUAAAACGUAGGUGGCAAGCGUUGUCCGGAAUUAUUGGGCGUAAAGGGCUCGCAGGCGGUUUCUUAAGUCUGAUGUGAAAGCCCCCGGCUCAACCGGGGAGGGUCAUUGGAAACUGGGAAACUUGAGUGCAGAAGAGGAGAGUGGAAUUCCACGUGUAGCGGUGAAAUGCGUAGAGAUGUGGAGGAACACCAGUGGCGAAGGCGACUCUCUGGUCUGUAACUGACGCUGAGGGGCGAAAGCGUGGGGAGCGAACAGGAUUAGAUACCCCAGUAGUCCCUGUCUCUUAUAC
rnacentral:rRNA from 1 species